rnacentral:rRNA from 1 species
AUUGAACGCUGGCGGCAGGCCUAACACAUGCAAGUCGAGCGGAUGAAGGGAGCUUGCUCUCUGAUUCAGCGGCGGACGGGUGAGUAAUGCCUAGGAAUCUGCCUGGUAGUGGGGGACAACGUUUCGAAAGGAACGCUAAUACCGCAUACGUCCUACGGAAGAAAGUGGGGGAUCUUCGGACCUCACGCUAUCAGAUGAGCCUAGGUACGAUUAGCUAGUUGGUGAGGUAAAGGCUCACCAAGGCGACGAUCGUUAACUGGUCUGAGAGGAUGAUCAGUCACACUGGAACUGAGACACGGUCCAGACUCCUACGGGAGGCAGCAGUGGGGAAUAUUGGACAAUGGGCGAAAGCCUGAUCCAGCCAUGCCGCGUGUGUGAAGAAGGUCUUCGGAUUGUAAAGCGCUUUAAGUUGGGAGGAAGGGCGGUAAGUUAAUACCUUGCUGUUUUGACGUUACUGACAGAAUAAGCACCGGCUAACUUCGUGCCAGCCGCCGCAGUAAAAC